UGGGCGCCCUGGCGGCCGGAGCGGGGUGCCCCACUGCUGCCCCGUGCUGCUCGGUGGCGAGGUCGGCCGGACGCUUGGCGGACGACUCCCACCAUCUACGGAAGAGCUUCUUGAUGACUGCAGGGAAGAAGGAGGAGAUGGGGAAGCUGGUGAUGGAGCGGAGGAUUCGCAUCUGGAUGUCCCCAUUCUCUUCAUCCAUCUCUCCUCCGCAUCUGCCCGCUGCCGGCGCACCUCCGCUUCCCAUCUGCUCCUAGCGCCGGGCUACAUGCGGCUGCGCGCGCGUGUGCCGCAUCCUCCGCGACGGGGGAACCGCCGUGGCAGCGCCUCCCCGUGGAGCCACCGCUCAGCCACCGCCCACCGGAUCACGGGUAAGGCCCUCCUCAUGCUGACAAGCACGGCACACGAGAGGCUCCGCUCACUCAACCUCCUCCUCAGUUGCCUCGCUUGUCCAACGCCAGCCUGCUCCGUGUCGUCCGAGGUACUCCGAUACCCCCUCCCCCUUGCAUGAAACUGGCUGUUAAUGUACAGAUUGAAUUGUUCACGAAAUCACCCCCAUGUGGUGCCCGUGGUUAAUGUUUGCUAUUAUGCCUCUAUAAUCUGCACGGUUGUCAUUUAGGAAUACUUAUUGGUUCGUGGAAUGGAUUAAUCGUAGCAUUGAUUUGUUAUUUCAUUAGGUCAUUCCAUGAUUUGGAUGAUCCAAUUCAUGGUUUUGCCAUUUAAAUCAGCUAUAUUCCUGAUUUUUUUUUCUGAUAGCACUGCAUAUGCCAGAUGAAUAUUACCCAUUGGAAUUUAGUAUUUUCUUAUUUUUUAUAUCUGACACACCUUUCUCUGUUUUGAUUACAUGGGAGCAGAUAAUUGGCACAAUUGUUGGCAAUAGCAACUCUAAACUCUCUUUGCCAUGCUUGAUGCAGCAGCACCAACGCGCUGCUUCUGUAAGCGUCGAAGGAAGUGAACAAAUUCCUGAACACCACUUGGUGCAGGAACUUUUCUAACUAACAAGCAGCUGAAGCACAGUUUUGUGUGGGCUUACAAGAGCUUUGUCAUCGAGAUAGAGUUUCAUUGCAUGGAAGGACCAGUACGGCGGCUACUGGAGCUAAAUAUACACCGUCUCUAUUUAAAAUGAAUCGAAGCAAUUCAGUUUGGACAAGGUACUCCUAUAUAAGUUCUUAACGGCGAGGACGGCAACAUGUGCGGCGCAUGGGCGACGGCGAGGCAACGCAUCAACAUAUUAUGAAGCGAAGCUAAUAUAUUAGAAAUAAGCGAAUAAUAACAUAAGAGCAAGUAAGGAACCGUAGCAACACAUGGAUAUUUCUGCUAGUAAUAUUAAAGUACCACCAAAAAAAUUUUGUACAUCGUGGACCAAGUCCACGGACGGGAGCACAAAA